CCUACGGGAGGCAGCAGUGGGGAAUCUUGCACAAUGGGCGAAAGCCUGAUGCAGCAACGCCGCGUGAGCGAUGAAGGUCUUCGGGUCGUAAAGCUCUGUCCUCAAGGAAGAUAAUGACGGUACUUGAGGAGGAAGCCCCGGCUCACUAUGUGCCAGCAGCCGAGGUAAUAACUAGGGGGCUAGCGUUAUCCGGAAAUAUUGGGCGGAAAGGGUGCGUAGGUGGUUUGUUAAGUCAGAGGUGAAAGGCUACGGCUCAACCAUAGUAAGCAUUUGAAACUGGGAAACUUGAGUGCAGGAGAGGAGAGUGGAAUUCCUAGUGUAGCGGUGAAAUGCGUAGAUAUUAGGAGGAACACCAGUUGCGAAGGCGGCUCUCUGGACUGUAACUGACACUGAGGCACGAAAGCGUGGGGAGCAAACAGGAUUAGAUACCCCUGUAGUC
rnacentral:rRNA from 1 species